rnacentral:rRNA from 1 species
CGGUAAUUCCAGCUCCAAUAGCGUAUAUUAAAGUUGUUGCCGUUAAAAAGCUCGUAGUCGAACUUCGGCCUUUGCCGCCCGGUCCGCCCUAUGGGUGUGUACUGGAGCGGUGGAGGCUUACCUCGUGGUGAACGGCCAUGCUCUUUACUGGGUGUGGUCGGGAACCAUGAUUUUUACUUUGAAAAAAUUAGAGUGUUCAAAGCAGGCUUACGCCCGAAUACAUUAGCAUGGAAUAAUAAAAUAGGACGUGCGGUUCUAUUUUGUUGGUUUCUAGAAUCGCCGUAAUGAUUAAUAGGGAUAGUUGGGGGCAUUCGUAUUCAAUUGCUAGAGGUGAAAUUCUUGGAUUUAUUGAAGACGAACUACUGCGAAAGCAUUUGCCAAGGAUGUUUUCAUUGAUCAAGAACGAAGGUUAGGGGAUCGAAAACGAUCAGAUACCGUUGUAGUCUUAACAGUAAACGAUGCCGACUAGGGAUCGGACGAGGAUUUUUAAUGACUCGUUCGGCACCUGAAGAGAAAUCUUUAAGUCUAGGUUCGGGGGGGAGUAUGGUCGCAAGGCUGAAACUUAAAGGAAUUGACGGAAGGGCACCACCAGGUGUGGAGCCUGCGGCUUAAUUUGAUUCAACACGGGGAAACUCACCAGGUCCAGACACGGCAAGGAUUGACAGAUUGAUAGCUCUUUCUUGAUUUCGUGGUUGGUGGUGCAUGGCCGUUCUUAGUUGGUGGAGUGAUUUGUCUGGUUAAUUCCGAUAACGAACGAGACCUUAACCUGCUAAAUAGCCCGGCCGACUUUGGUUGGUCGCUGGCUUCUUAGAGGGACUAUCAGCGUUUAGCUGAUGGAAGUUUGAGGCAAUAACAGGUCUGUGAUGCCCUUAGAUGUUCUGGGCCGCACGCGCGCUACACUGACCGAACCAGCGAGUUUAUCACUUGGCCGGAAGGCCUGGGUAAUCUUGUGAAACUCGGUCGUGAUGGGGAUAGAGCAUUGCAAUUAUUGCUCUUCAACGAGGAAUACCUAGUAAGCGUGAGUCAUCAGCUCGCGUUGAAUUCGUCCCUGCCCUUUGUACACACCGCCCGUCGCUACUACCGAUUGAAUGGCUUGGUGAGGUCUCCGGAUUGGCUUCUGGGAGCCGGCAACGGCACCUAGUCGCUGAGAAGUUGAACGAACUUGGUCAUUUAGAGGAAGUAAAAGUCGUAACAAGGUAGCCG